rnacentral:lncRNA from 1 species
CAAUGACAAAGCAAAAACAGAUCUUCAAAUUAAAAUAAAUUUAAACUUUACUCAGUACUUUGUUAAAGCACCUUUGGCAGCGAUCGCAGCCUUGAGUCUUAUUGGGUAUGACGCUACAAGCUUGGCACACCUGUAUUUGGGGAGUUCCAUUUUUUUCUGCAGAUCCUCUCAAGCUCUGACAGGUUGGAUGGGGAGCGUCGCUGCACAACUAUUUUCAGGUCUCUCCAGAGAUGUUAGAUCGGGCUCUGGCUGGGCCACUCAAGGACAUUCAGACUUGUCCCAAAGCAUUUACAUUUACCCACUCCUACAUUGACUCGGCUGUGUGCUUAGGGUCAUUGUCCUGUUGGAAGGUGAACCUUCGCCUCAGUCAGAGGUCCUGAGUGCUCUGGAGCAGGUUUUCAUUAAGGAUCUCUAUACUUUGCUCCGUUCAGCAUUCCCUCAAUCCUGAUUAGUCUCCCAGUCCCUGCAGCUGAAAAACUUCCCCACAGCAUGAUGCCGCCACCACGCUUCACCGUAGGGAUUGUGCCAGGUUUCCUCCAGACAUGACGCUUGGCAUUCAGGCCAGAGUUCAAUCUUGGUGCCUUUUGGCAAACUCAAAGCAGACUGUCAUGUGCCUUUUACUGAGGAGUGGCUUCCAUCUGGCCACUCUACCAUAAAGGCCAGAUUGGUUGAGUGCUGCAGAGAUGGUUGUCCUUCUGGAAGGUUCUCCCAUCUCCACAGAGCUCUGGAGCUCUGUCACAGUGGCCAUUGGGAUCUUCAUCACCUCCCUGACCAAGGCCCUUCUCCCCCUACAGAUUUUCAUGGGAAUAUUCUAAAAUCCACAUAAAGAAAAUAUUCACAUUUUCCCACCAGUGGUGUUUCCACCAAACUGACUUGAAGAUAAACAUCUGUGUGUGAUGAUGUAGUGCACACAAAAUAUACUUUUUGUUCUUAAGUUUUCAUGUACCGAAUAAAAAACCCAGUGUUCAAUUUGUUUCCAUCGCAUUUUCAGCUCUAUCGAUAGUUGUCACAAACAGCAAAUAUGACUACUCUCAUCUUUGCACUUGCACUCUAGUCAACAGCUCGCAGAUACUGUGCGGGUAGGCUAGUCUACAUGACGAGACUAUUAUGGAUAAGAGCGAGAAUAUUUUUAUUUGUCAAACGGCAGUCAAGCAUCAAGUCACCAGAAUAUGACCCUCGAUAUUUAGCGGAAAUGAGCAUCAAUAUCACUGUGCACUUUCACCACCCUGUGAAGUUCAUCAUAAUUUAUUUAAUCUGUAACUUAAUAAACUGCAUGGUUUCCUUAAUCGUAGUGGGAGUCAGGACCACACACGUGACUCCAAGUUUACUUCAAUAGGAUGGUUAUUAUAUAAAUAUUUGCGCAUAAAAAAAGGUGUUUCCGCCGCUAUUUCUCACAUAAUUAAUUCCGUCGAAACAAAAAGAUCCCACCAUGUCGAAUGAACAAAUGACCUGUCGGCACGAUUUUUUUUUUUUACGUCGGAUAAAAAAUUUAUAAAAAAACUGACAGGUCCUAUUGAAAAAUUUGUUGGUAAACUUUCCAAAUGUCGACAAAACAAAAUACGCUAGAUAAGGGUGGUGAAAGUGAACAGUGAUGACCUUGAUGUAGAGGUCUGCACGAGACUGAUUUCUUCAACCCGCACCCACUUGCUUGCUGUCCAACUCCCACCCACUACCGCAAGAACUGGUCCUGAAACCAACAGCGGUAAUUGUGAGUAUUUCUGUCUGUAAUAAUGCCCUUUUGUGGGGAAAAUCUCAUUCUGAUUAGCUGGACCUGGCUCCCAAGUGGGUGGGUCUAUGCCUUCCCAGGCCCACCCAUGGCUGUGCCCCUGCCCAGUCAUGUGAAAUCCAUAGAUUAGGGCCUAAUGAAUUUAAGUAAAUUAACUGACUUCCUUAUAUGAACUGUAACUCUGUAAAAUCGUUUAAAGUUGCGUUUAUAUUUUUGUUCAGUGUAGCUAGCUUUUAGCUACUUGAAAACCGAAGCCCAUCUCAG